AAAGCAGGUCUGCAAUUGCAGCACUCUACUGCAAUGGAGUGCUGUCAUUAACCCUGCUGAGAGCAUCUUCCUGCUACAGAGCUCUCACUCCUCCUCUCUGUGUCGAGAUGAGGAAGCUCUCUGUAGCUGAACAUUU